rnacentral:rRNA from 1 species
CUGCUGCCUCCCGUAGGAGUCUGGGCCGUAUCUCAGUCCCAAUGUGGCCGGCCAACCUCUCAGUCCGGCUACUGAUCGUCGCCUUGGUGGGCCGUUACCUCACCAACAAGCUAAUCAGACGCGAGGCCAUCUUUCGGCGAUAAAUCUUUGACAUUCAGACCAUGCGAUCCAAAUGCGUCAUGCGGUAUUAGCAGUCGUUUCCAACUGUUGUCCCCCUCCGAAAGGCAGGUUCCUCACGCGUUACU